GGGCGAGCCUGAUCCGCCAUGCCGCGUGCAGGAUGAAGGCCUUCGGGUUGUAAACUGCUUUUGUACGGAACGAAAAGCCUCUUUCUAAUAAAGAGGGGUCAUGACGGUACCGUAAGAAUAAGCACCGGCUAACUACGUGCCAGCAGCCGCGGUAAUACGUAGGGUGCAAGCGUUAAUCGGAAUUACUGGGCGUAAAGCGUGCGCAGGCGGUUUUGUAAGACAGAGGUGAAAUCCCCGGGCUCAACCUGGGAACUGCCUUUGUGACUGCAAGGCUGGAGUGCGGCAGAGGGGGAUGGAAUUCCGCGUGUAGCAGUGAAAUGCGUAGAUAUGCGGAGGAACACCGAUGGCGAAGGCAAUCCCCUGGGCCUGCACUGACGCUCAUGCACGAAAGCGUGGGGAGCAAUCAGGAUUAGAUACCCUGGUAGUCCACGCCCUAAACGAUGUCAACUGGUUGUUGGGUCUUCACUGACUCAGUAACGAAGCUAACGCGUGAAGUUGACCGCCUGGGGAGUACGGCCGCAAGGUUGAAACUCAAAGGAAUGGACGGA
rnacentral:rRNA from 1 species